rnacentral:rRNA from 1 species
AUACGGAGGGGACUAGCGUUGUUCGGAUUUACUGGGCGUAAAGCGCGCGUAGGCGGUUUGGAAAGUCAGAUGUGAAAUCCCAGGGCUCAACCCUGGAACCGCAUUUGAAACUAUCAGACUAGAGAUUGGGAGAGGUAAGUGGAAUUCCGAGUGUAGAGGUGAAAUUCGUAGAUAUUCGGAGGAACACCAGAGGCGAAGGCGACUUACUGGACCAAUACUGACGCUGAGGUGCGAAAGCGUGGGGAGCAAACAGGAUUAGAAACCCCAGUAGUCC